CCUAAAAAAAAGGAAAGAGAAACUUGGAUGACUGAGCUUCCUCCAGAAUUUCAGCUCCCCUCUGGAACUCUUCUUACAAGCCGACGCUUUUCGAAAGCCUCAAAGAGCCAGAGAGACCCCACGUGGGCAGAGACACCCACAGAUCGGACUUUGAAGCCGAGCCGAGCCGAGCAUCCUUCCAAAAAUGUUUACUCCAAACGAGACGCGCUCAUGUCUGCGUUUGUAGAAGAGUAUAACGAGAAACAGCGCUCUCAAAGUUUACUAGAAAUGCACAGAGGCAAGUU